rnacentral:rRNA from 1 species
AGUAACGGCGAGUGAAGCGGUAACAGCUCAAAUUUGAAAUCUGGCUCCUGCGGAGUCCGAGUUGUAAUUUGUAGAAGAUGCUUUGGGAGGUAGGCUCGGCCUAAGUUCCUUGGAACAGGACAUCAGAGAGGGUGAGAAUCCCGUAUGUGGCCGUGGCCUACGCCCGUGUAAAGCUCUUUCGACGAGUCGAGUUGUUUGGGAAUGCAGCUCAAAAUGGGUGGUAAAUUUCAUCUAAAGCUAAAUAUUGGCCAGAGACCGAUAGCGCACAAGUAGAGUGAUCGAAAGAUGAAAAGCACUUUGGAAAGAGAGUUAAACAGUACGUGAAAUUGUUGAAAGGGAAGCGCUUGCACCCAGACUUGGGCGUCGUCGAUCAUCCGAGGUUCUCCUCGGUGCACUCGGCGAGGCACAGGCCAGCAUCGGUUUGGAUGGUUGGAGAAAGGCUCUAGGAACGUAGCUCUCUUCGGGGAGUGUUAUAGCCUAGGGCGUAAUGCAGCCCAUCUGGACCGAGGACCGCGCCUUCGGGCUAGGAUGCUGGCGUAAUGGUUGCAAGCGACCCGUCUUGAAACACGGACCAAGGAGUCUAACAUCUAUGCGAGUGUUUGGGCGUUAAACCCAUACGCGGAAUGAAAGUGAACGUAGGUGAGAACCCGUCUGGGUGCAUCAUCGACCGAUCCUGAUGUCUUCGGAUGGAUUUGAGUAAGAGCAUAGCUGUUGGGA